rnacentral:rRNA from 1 species
ACGCCUAACACAUGCAAGUCGAACGCAGUAGCAAUACUGAGUGGCAAACGGGUGAGUAUAAUGUGGGAAUCUGCCUUUUGGUUCGGAAUAACACGAGGAAACUUGUGCUAAUACUGGAUAAGCCCUUACGGGGAAAGUUUUAAUGCCAUAAGAUGAGCCCGCAUUUGAUUAGUUAGUUGGUGAGGUAAUGGCUCACCAAGACAAUGAUCAAUAGCUGAUUUGAGAGGAUGAUCAGCCACACUGGGACUGAGAUACGGCCCAGACUCC